rnacentral:rRNA from 1 species
UACGUAGGGUGCGAGCGUUAAUCGGAGUUACUGGGCGUAAAGCGUGCGCAGGCGGUUUUGUAAGACAGUUGUGAAAUCCCCGGGCUCAACCUGGGAACUGCAUCUGUGACUGCAUAGCUAGAGUACGGUAGAGGGGGAUGGAAUUCCGCGUGUAGCAGUGAAAUGCGUAGAUAUGCGGAGGAACACCGAUGGCGAAGGCAAUCCCCUGGACCUGUACUGACGCUCAUGCACGAAAGCGUGGGGAGCAAACAGG